rnacentral:tRNA from 1 species
UAGAUUGAAGCCAGUUGACUAGGGUGUUUAGCUGUUAACUAAGAGUUCGUGGGAUCGAAGCCCUCCAAUCUAG